UACGAAGGGGACUAGCGUUGUUCGGAAUCACUGGGCGUAAAGCGCACGUAGGCGGAUAUGUCAGUCAGGGGUGAAAUCCCGGGGCUUAACCUCGGAACUGCCUUUGAUACAGCAUAUCUUGAGUCCGAUAGAGGUGGGUGGAAUUCCUAGUGUAGAGGUGAAAUUCGUAGAUAUUCGGAAGAACACCAGUGGCGAAGGCGACACACUGGGCCAUUACUGACGCUGAGGCGCGAAAGCGUGGGGAGCAAACAGG
rnacentral:rRNA from 1 species